UGAAGUUGUAACCUGCUGUCGUGGACUGAAUCGUUACAACAACAUGCAAAGCAGAACACUUCAUGACAUUCUACUUGAAAUCUCACUCUCUACCGCUGAGCUGAGGAAGGUCUCCCAUCCCUGAUGAGCAUCAACUCUGAUUCUGGCCUUCACUCUCUCCCUCAAAGACUUUCUGUCCAAUCCAAACUGUUUUAUUAGCAGACAGUUUUUUACACUGUGCCCUCAGUAAGGCACUUGACAUGUAUAUUAGAAUCAAAUUUAAUGUUUGAGAAAUCAUAUAGGGCCUAAUCCAAAAACAUAAGCAGAUUUAGCAAGCCACCCUUUUUGCUGCUGUUAAAUCGACUGGGUUCAGAAAACUUGAAUAUUCAUUAUUCAGUCCAAAUUGUCUGAAGCAGGUUUUACUUUAUGCAUUAAAAAUACCAUACAUAUAUUUUUAUAAUGAAACUGCAAAUAUAAAUGCCCAGUGAACAUUUUAAUUUCUAGUGUUGAAUGAGGCCAACCACACAAUACAUAACCAUACAAUGUUCAAC